AGGGGUGUAGCUCAAUGGUAUAGCACUUGUUUAGCAAAUAUGAGGCUCUGGGUUCUAUCCUCUGUACUGCCA
rnacentral:tRNA from 1 species